AGUGAACGCUGGCGGUAGGCCUAGCACAUGCAAGUCGAACGGCAGCACAGUAAGAGCUUGCUCUUACGGGUUGCGAGUGGCGGACGGGUGAGGAAUACAUCGGAAUCUACUUUUUCGUGGGGGAUAACGUAGGGAAACUUACGCUAAUACCGCAUACGACCUACGGGUGAAAGCAGGGGAUCUUCGGACCUUGCGCGAUUGAAUGAGCCGAUGUCGGAUUAGCUAGUUGGCGGGGUAAAGGCCCACCAAGGCGACGAUCCGUAGCUGGUCUGAGAGGAUGAUCAGCCACACUGGAACUGAGACACGGUCCAGACUCCUACGGGAGGCAGCAGUGGGGAAUAUUGGACAAUGGGCGCAAGCCUGAUCCAGCCAUACCGCGUGGGUGAAGAAGGCCUUCGGGUUGUAAAGCCCUUUUGUUGGGAAAGAAAAGCAGCAGGUUAAUACCCCGCUGUUCUGACGGUACCCAAAGAAUAAGCACCGGCUAACUUCGUG
rnacentral:rRNA from 1 species